CUACGGGCCGCAGCAGUGAGGAAUAUUGCACAAUGGGGGGAACCCUGAUGUAGCAACGCCGCGUGGAGGAUGACGCAUUUCGGUGUGUAAACUCCUUUUAUAUGUCAAGAAAAUGACGGUAGCAUAUGAAUAAGCACCGGCUAACUCCGUGCCAGCAGCCGCGGUGAAUACGGAGGGUGCAAGCGUUACUCGGAAUCACUGGGCGUAAAGGACGCGUAGGCGGGUUGGAAAGUCAGGUGUGAAAUCCUACAGCUUAACUGCAGAACUGCACUUGAAACUUCUAAUCUAGAGUAUGGGAGGGGGAGAUGGAAUUAGUGGUGUAGGGGUAAAAUCCGUAGAUAUCACUAGGAAUACCGAAAGCGAAGGCGAUCUCCUGGAACAUUACUGACGCUAAGGCGUGAAAGCGUGGGGAGCAAACAGGAUUAGAUACCCGUGUAGUC
rnacentral:rRNA from 1 species